GCUCGUAGUUGGAUUUCGGGUGGGUUCUAGCGGUCCGCCUAUGGUGAGUACUGCUAUGGCCUUCCUUUCUGUCGGGGACGGGCUUCUGGGCUUCACUGUCCGGGACUCGGAGUCGACGUGGUUACUUUGAGUAAAUUAGAGUGUUCAAAGCAGGCUUACGCCAGAAUACUUUAGCAUGGAAUAACACGAUAGGACUCUGGCCUAUCUUGUUGGUCUGUAGGACCGGAGUAAUGAUUAAGAGGGACAGUCGGGGGCAUUCGUAUUUCAUUGUCAGAGGUGAAAUUCUGGGAUUUAUGAAAGACGAACUACU
rnacentral:rRNA from 1 species